AUUUUCUGAAAUUUUCUAAGCAGAAGCACAUUUUUUUAAGAUUAUUUUUUUUAAUAUUUAAUUUAGUUAUUUAAGAUACAGAAAGCGACAGAGAAAUUUACGCUUAAACCACAAAAAAGAAACUAAUUAAUGUGGCGUCCUAAACUAAGUCUGAUGAGCAGAUUAGAAAAGGAAGAAAAAGCAAACAAACUGAAAGUAAAAUUGGUAACAUGAAUGCCCAGAGUUUUUGGAUUUCAUGGAAUUCACUGAUUAACAGACAUAAUUAAUGAUGUAAAAGAGGGUAGAUGAUUGCUGACGCAAGUAAGGAAGAACGAAAAAUAGAAUAGUGUGUAUCUAAGAAUUUCUGAUUAACUGGUACAAAUUUAAAAAAAAGGAUAAAAUAACAGCCAAAAUAUGUCGCUGCUUUCAUACAUUCAUAAGAUCAUAAGACCAAGAAGACCGCUUUAAAAUUUUUGUUACUGCUAAUCACUGCACUAUUAAUAAUACAAAUGUAAAUGAACGAUGAUAAUAUAGUUUAUAGUUAAAAGAAAAACAUCGAACUUUUUUUAAAAAUUCAGAUGAGUCAAACAGUCCUUGUUAAAAUGCUGGAAUUUGUUAUGAAUUGAAGCUAUAAACCAGGAAAAAAUUUUAUUGAUUAAAAUAACUUCAAAAAACUCACUUUUGUUUUAAAUGCGAAUUAAACAUACUUUAUUUAUUUAUAUCGCUCAUGCAAACUAAUAUUCUCCUAACAUUUUUGAAUUCUUUAAUAAUUAUAUCAAUAUAUUUAAAAGAUUCUAAGCAUUUCAUUAAUUCAAAAAUAUCACUGGUUAUAUAUUUAAUGAAAAUGAUAGCAAAUAUGACAAUAAAACAGGGCAUAAAAUAAUUUUGAUUGUAAUUUUGAAGAAUAAAAGAGUAUUUAAAAUCAUUUAAUUACAAUUAUAUUUGUGGUUUUUAUAGAUAUUUUGGGAGGAGGUAAGUGAAACUAGUCUUUUUCAAUAACCGUUUGAAAAGAAAGAUUUAUAAAUGAUCUUCUUAAUUUCAUAUUUAUUUCAUAUAUGUAGUCACAAAUUUUUAGUUUAAAAUACAUUCCUGUUUUUUACUUGUAAAAUUUUUAUUAUUUUAGCUGCUAAUGCACUUGGAGGUGUGUAUAUGUUAGAUUUUAUUUCUUAUUUAGUUUAAAAUUUUUGGUAAUAAGCUUCAUAAAUUUCAAAAGUCAAUUUUUUCAACAAAAAGGCAGAGUUUAAUACUACAUUAAUCUGCAUUUUUAUCGAUUGCCCCAAAAUAAAUAAUUAAAAAAGCUAUUUUUUAUGUAUAAAAUAAUUGAGAAAGUUUGACAAGAUUGGACCAAAAUUUUAAGAGUGAAAAAGUGAUAAGCAUAGGUUUAUCACUUUGCAAACUAAGUUAUAAUUUCACUUUGUAUAUAACAGAAUAUUUAUAAUUUUUUUAUGUUUCUUUUACUUAAAUUUACUAAUUGCAUGCUUUGAAAAAGCUUUGUAAUUUAAAAUGAAUUCAACUAAAUUUCAAAGACUAUUUAAUGAUAUUUUGUUAACUUUCUUUUAGCUAAUAAGAAAAAACGUAAGUAUUUAUUCCAAAACAAUUUUAGGUAUUCAGAUCAAUUUAAAAAAUAAAUAUUUGUUUAAAUGAGCAAUAAUGACCUCUAUAUUUCCAUCAAAAUUAAGUUUAUGCUUAAAAACGGUAAGGUUAUGCUGCUGGAAACAAUCUUUUUUUUCUCACAAAUUUAUCCAAACAUGGAGCAAUUGAUUAGCUUUUAUUUUACUUUUAUCAUAGAGCUAACGUUGUUAUUGGCGUGUUUAUAUAUGCUUAAAUCGGUAGUAAUUUUAGAAUGACACUUGUGAUAUAAUCUAUAUAAGUUACAGUUACUACUUAGACAAGCAAGCCUUAGAGCACAAUUAACAACAUACCAAAUUUCAUAUUUCGUAUUUGCACCUCGUAUGCUAUUAAUUUUCCCAUAUUUUGAGUUUCGAUGUAGAACACAUUUCAACCUUUAAAUUAUGAUAUAGUUUAAUAAGAUAUAGAGAUAAAAGCCAUACAGUUAGAAAAAAAGCAUUAAAAUAACUUAACUAUCAUAUAUUCGGCGAAUUACAUGUAGUUAACAAAUUUUAUAAAAAAAUCUAAUGGAAAAGAGAAUUAUCAAGCAUUUCAUUAUUCAUUGUUUAUACAAACAUUUCGAAUAAGGCAACCACUUUAAUCUUAAGCGAGCAUUAAUCUAACCAUUUAAUUAUAAAAAUAAAUCAGAGAAAUUAACUUAGUAAAUCUUAUUUUUUCGAAAUUCAUUAUUUAAUUUUUAAUGCAAGUAUAACAUCACAUAGAUAAUUAAUAAAAUGUUUCCUUUUAUAGCUGGACUCCUAGGUAAGCGCAAAAAAAUCAUCAAAAAACAUAAUUAUUUAUGCAUAUUUAAUGAAAUAUAAUUUUCCAAACAAGUUAAAAAAUUUCUUUAAAAAAUACAUAUUAUACGGGAAGAUUUAAAUAAAAUCAUGCACCUUAUUGUUAAUGAAGAAUCGUUUCUAUUCCAUGUUCUGAAGAAUAAUAGAAAGUAUUUUAAUAUAGUUACUUAAUUUUUUUGAAUGAACAAUAGAGUUAUGAACAAUAGAGUUUCCUUAUCACCUUUAAUGAUAUCAAUACUUCACAUAUUUCAUAGUUGUAAUGAAUACAAAACUAUAGAAUGCGCAUCAGUAAUAAUUUGUGUAUUUUUUAAAAUAUUUCCACAGUUUACAAGAAAGUAUGGUGUUUUGAGAGUUUUUGAAGGUUGACAAUUGCAAAAAAAGGAGCCUUAGGUCAAAAAGGAGUUUCUAAUUCAUAACAAAAAUAAUCUCAACGAUAAACCUCAAUUACACCACAUAAAAGAAAUUUAUUCCUCAGCUAUAAAUUCAGUUGAAAUCUGGUGAAACUAUUCACACUUCAAAUAUAUAUAUAUCUUCUCGAAGCGUAGAAAAAUAACCAGUACACCUCAAAAACAAUCUUUCUAAGCUAAUUGGUCUAAGGAGGAUUUCUAACAUCCUCAAGUGUGAAUAAAACAUCUUCAAUACAUCUUCACUUAUAUCAUCAAUCAUAUGAACUUUCGGAGAUUGAUUUUUCAUAACUCAACUUCAAAUGAACCCUAGCAACAACCUCACAUAAACCUCAAAAACACCUUAAAAUUUUGCAAGGUUAUAUUUAACAAAUAUUAUUAAUUUUUAGCAUAGAAUAUUUUAAAAGAAGUGUAGAAUAAAAUUUUUUUAACUUGCAUGUUUUUCUAAGAAAUUAUUUUAAAAGUGUGUAAGUAGGUAUGCACUUUUUUAAACUGGCAUAAUAUAUGGUUCAUAAACAAUUUUUGUUGCUUCACAGGCGGUAAGUACAAAACAUAACAUUUAUUACAUUUCAACCCAAAUUUAUUUUCAUCCUAAAUUUUGAAAUUAGGGUACAAAUAAAAGUUGGUAAUGUUGAAAACUAUUAUCUUAGUGCCUAAUUUUUUCUUAAAUUCAAAUAAUUUGAAAUGAAAAACCUACGUCUUUUUUGUACCUCAUUUCUUUAUAAGUAAAGGAACGGACAAAAUUAUUUUUAGUUUAAUAAAUUUAUAAUACAAUUUCAAUUAAUAUAUAAUGCAUUGUAGCUAUAUAUUUAAAUCAGAUAAAAUCAUUAAAUUCGGAUCUUUAGGCUAAAUAUUUGCUUACUUCGAAAUAUCAGAUUUUUAGUGUAAAACAAUUUUUACAAUUUUGUACUAUCGUAGAAAAAAAAAAUUCGGGAAGAAACUUACACUAAUUAAAAAUUAUUGUUACGUGCUACUUUUUAUUUUGUUUGUUAAACAUUUCAGUGAACAAUAAUUUAUGUUGCUAUGUGUUAGUCCAUGAAAUGUAAGAACCAUCUAUCAUCCCUUUCAAUUUUUAUAUAGUAGUAUGCGCAUCCAUCGGUGAUGACUUGGAAGCAUCAUUAAGGAAGAAUCUCUAACAGUAAUCAAUAAACCAUUGGAUUAACUCGAGUGGGACGUAAACUACAAGACCAAACUAUUUAUAGUAUAUGAUUCGCUUAAUCUAGGGUAUUUUAAAAACUAUUCGAAGUAUUUGCUUAUAGCUUAACAAAAAGCUCUUUUUAAGAAAUUUUAAAAAAUAAAAAUAAAAAGUUCAUAAAAAUACGGCACAAAUCUUAAAAAUUCAUAAAUGAAAAACAAUAUAACAUGUUACUUCAUUAACAAAACUAAUUUCCAAAGAAAAAUCAUAAUUAAAGAAUAAUUUAGUAAGUAACGUGACUGAAAUAAGCAGGAAUUAUAUGCAAUAUGUUUAACUGAACAAAUAAAUAAAAUUUAUAUAUAAUUGGAAAAUUUCUAUUAGGUCUUGCUGGAGGACGUAAGUUUUGUUAUUUCUUUCGAAAAAUUAUGCAAAGUUUUACAUUCUUACAUUAUCAAUUUUGAAAUUUCUAUUUAGAAAAAUAUUAGAAUAACAUGUUUUUUUUAAUAAAUAUUAAGAAAUAAUUAGAAGAAAAUUAAAAUUUGAUUUAACUUUUAUUAUAUUUUACAAAAUUUAUUUAUGGUCUAGAUUUUAUAACAAUAAACUAAACAUAUUUUUAUUUGUCUUAUUUUAGUUGAGACAUUUGGCAACAAUGUUCUUGGAGGAGCAAAUCAAGCUGUCAGUGAUUUCUUCUGUGGCUGUAAGUAUAUAUCACAUAAAACUAAAACUAGGUAUAUUCAUUUAUAAACUUUGAAUGUUUCAACACGCAAUUUAGAAUAACACAAAACCUUUCAAAGCGACAUAUUAAUUUGAUUUGAAACAGUUUAUGUGAAAAAUAUUUCGAAACGAUUAGUAUAAGAAAAAAGCUUUUAAAACUAAUCGGAUAUAAUUUAAUCACUUGAAAAUAUACUUAUUAAGCAGUAAAAUUUCUAUAGCUAAAUUAAUACUAUUUAAUGCGUAUUAACUCGGAGUAUGCGAGUGUGAUGAUGAGCUUUAUUUCAUUUCCGCAGGCCGUGAAAGCCUUAAAAUAAUGUUGUUACGUUCUAUUUUAAUGAUAUAUACUUUUAAUGAAAAAGACUGAUGACAAAUAAGAAUAUAAUUUACUCACAGAUGAGUAAUAACAUAAAUAAGGAACAGAUACAUCUUAAUGUCUCCUUAUUCAAGCAAAUUUAAAAGCCACGUUAAUGCAGAGUGACCUGCGCUUAAUAAAAAUUUUAAUCUGUAUAAAUAAUUAUGAAAAUAUUUGAGAGCUUCUUUUUUGGCUACGCAAUAGUUACGUUCAAGAUUUGACAAGCUUUUGCUCCAUUACGUAAUUAAGUGAUCUUUUCCGUAAAUUUAAUGAGGCAAAUCAGCAUUCAAUUCGUUUUAAAUUGCAUCAGCGAAGAGAUUAGGUCUAUUCUUCAAAUCUAGCUAAAAUCAAAUCAGGCUAAAACGGAUGCUGAUUUUAAAGCUUUUUUCAAGGAUUUAAAUACAUCCUCACAUUCCGUAGUCUAUUAAAACUACCAAUUUGUUUUUGCUAUAUGAUACAAAUGUCUCUCAAUUUUAGAAAAAAUCUUUAAUAAUCUGCCGUAAUAAGAAUAUAAACAAAUAAAGCUUCGUAACUCGAAAAUGUUCCAUAAUUUUCAAUUUGUUCAUAAAUCUUCCAUUAGAGCUUAAUUUUUUUCUCUAAAUACAUAAAUUAAUUCUAGAUUGAGUGAGAUCUUUUUCCUCACAUUGCAAUUUUCAUCUUUUUUUUUUUUCAGAAAUAGCACAAAAUGUGCCUGAACUGUUCUUUCCCUGCGUUUCGUUAAAUGCUUUCGAACAUUACUUAGUACACGUAUUUCACGAGUAGAAAAAGUUUCUGCUCAUGAAACAUUGAGAACUUUCUUCGUUUGUGAAAUUUCUUCAUUCCACUGCAAGGUCAUCAUCCAUUCCAUAUUUCGUGCAUUUGCCAAUACAUGGCUGUCAAAGAAAUUUUACUUUCAGUUACCAAAAUGUUACGUUCUAUUUUAAUGAUGGGUUCGUUAAGUAAACAAGACUCACACAUCGUAAUAUGCAUUGAUGGAAGCAUAUGUAUACUUAACAUUAACAAAUUAUCUUACAAAUCCAAAAUUCCAUCUGAUAUGUUCUCCUUCUCAAUUAACAUCUCAGUCUGACAAUUGCCGCUUCAACCAGUUUCUAUAGAAAAAGUCCAUUUGGUGCAUAAUUUCCAUUCUCCGUAGGAUAAUGUCAAACUAAUUAGGUACAUUUCAUGUAAUUACUAAAACAAGUACUCGCAAAAGUAUGAAAACAAUUGUAAAAUAUUUUAUUAAGAUGUCCCACUUGAUGUAAGACUGAGAUAAAUAUUUUUAUGUUAUGUACUAUUAACUAAUUUAAAUCAUCAUAAAAUAAAUAAAAGUAAAAAUAUUUAUUAUGUUUUAACUCAAUUAUAUUUUUACCAUUUAAUCCUGAACAAUUAUUGUAAACUGUAAGUAAUCUAAUGAAGUAAUUUUUCUUUUUUAGUCAAUAGGGUGUUUAACAAAAUCGGAAGCAAAGGUAAGUAAUAAUUCAACUCUAAAGAACCUUCAAACUCUAAUUUUUUAUUAUAAUGCCUGUCAAUUUUUUUAAUAUUUAAAAAAAAAUUCAACUUUUUAAAAUGAAAGUUAUCAGCAGUUUUAUUUUAACUUUUUAAACAAGAUAUUGCUACAGCUGAGCAUAUUUCUAAAACUUUUUAUGUGGUUAUUUGCGUAAACUUGCAUUUUCAUGAUGCUGAUCUACAAGGAGUUUAUGUAUUAAUUCU